rnacentral:rRNA from 1 species
AAAUUUGAGAGUUUGAUCCUGGCUCAGGAUGAACGCUGGCGGUGUGCCUUAGGCAUGCAAGUCGAACGGUAAACUCGCCUUCGGGCGAGAACGAGUGGCAGACGGGUGAGUAACACGUGAGAAUCUACCCUAUUGUGGGGAAUAGCUCCGCGAAAGCGGAGGUAAUACCGCAUACGGUCCCGAUUUAUCGGGAUUAAAGUCUUCGGACGCAAUAGGAGGAGCUUGCGCGCUAUCAGCUUGUUGGUGGGGUAAUGGCCUACCAAGGCGAUGACGGCUAGCCGGUGUGAGAGCACGACCGGCCACAAGGCUACUGAAACACGGAGCCUACACCUACGGGUGGCAGCAACCGGGAAUAUUGCGCAAUGGACGAAAGUCUGACGCAGCGACACCGCGUGUGGGAUGAAGCUCUUCGGAGUGUAAACCACUGUGGCGAGGGAUGAAUUUUGACAGUACCUCGCUAGAAAGCAUCAGCUAACUACGUGCCAGAAGCUUCGGUAAUACGUAGGAUGCAAGCGUUAUCCGGAUUCACUGGGCGUAAAGGGUCCGUCGGCGUCCCAAAAGGUCUUUUGUUUAAGCCUCCGGCUCAACUGGAGAUCAGCAAAAGAAACCAUUGGGAUUGAGUCUGUUCGAGGAAGCUAGAAUUCUUGGUGGAGGGGUGAAAUCCGUAGAUAUCAAGAGGAAUACCAUGCGCGAAGGCAAGCUUCUAGGACACGACUGACGCUCAGGGACGAAAGCUUGGGUAGCAAAGCGGAUUGAAUUUAAUUUGGUCCCCUUGAGUAGUAAUGCUCAAGGAAAAAUUGGCUAUAUCGGGGAACCUCCGUAUUUAAUAGAUCAUAAUAUUCUAGAAACAUUAUAUAAUGAUCAUAUGCGGACAAUCCCGAGGGAAGUUCAGAAAUCGUCCUAUAUAUAGGCGAAUUUGAACCCCGUAGAGACUAUAUGCCGAUCUCCUCGUACUAAUCGAGGAAGAUGAGAUAGUCCGAUCUGCAUAGCAAUAUGCAGAGUUUGCUAGAAAUGGCAAACCGCCCCGCCGUUGGCGUGGUAAGUAGUCCUAACUACACAGGACGAAAGUAACACAAUGUAGAGACCCGUGUAGUCCAAGCUGUAAACUAUGCUCGCUAGUUGCUCGCUCCGCUUUGCGGAGUGGGUGACGUAAGCUAACGCGUUAAGCGAGCCGCCUGGGGAGUACGACCGCAAGGUUAAAACUCAAAGGAAUUGGCGGGGGAGCGCACAACCGGUGGAGCAUGUGGUUUAAUUCGAUACAAAGCGAAAAACCUUACCCGGACUUGACAUGUACCUGCACGGUCUUGGAAACAAGAUCUUCUUCGAGAGUGGUACACAGGUGAUGCAUGGCUAUUUGAAAAAGAUGGCCGUCUGAAAGGCAACUUUCAGAGAAAAAUACUAACCCAAAACGGUGAAGCCCUAAUUGAUUUCGGAUUUCUUUCGCCUUAUACUGAAAUCAAUGGGUAAUACCGUGGGAAGCAAGGACUCUUUUUAGUUUUCUAAAAAUUAUAUUUUUAGUUAGUUAUUAAUAGUUGGAGUGUAAAUAUUAACCAAUUGGCUUUAAUUAAAACUUCGUGUUGAACCUUAAAGAGUUAUUCAGAAAUUAAAUUCUGUUAAACUUGCCCCGUAGAGACUGAUUUCUAGCCCUGAACUUAACAUGGUUUGG